rnacentral:rRNA from 1 species
CGUGUAGGCGGUUGGGUUAGUCAGAUGUGAAAUCCUUCUGCUCAACGGAAGAAGUGCGUCUGAAACUGCUCAACUUGAGUACGAGAGAGGAAAGUGGAAUUCCCAGUGUAGAGGUGAAAUUCGUAGAUAUUGGGAGGAACACCUGUGGCGAAGGCGACUUUCUGGAUCGAUACUGACGCUGAGACGCGAAAGCGUGGGGAGCAAACAGGAUUAGAUACCCUGGUAGUCC